rnacentral:rRNA from 1 species
UACGAACGCUGGCGGCAUGCCUAAUACAUGCAAGUCGAACGACCGGAGCAAUCCGGGAGUGGCGAACGGGUGAGUAACACGUGGGAACCUGCCCAGCGGUGGGGAACAACCGAGGGAAACUUCGGCUAAUACCGCAUACGCCCUUACGGGGAAAGAUUUAUCGCCGUUGGAGGGGCCCGCGUCCGAUUAGCUAGUUGGUGAGGUAACGGCUCACCAAGGCGACGAUCGGUAACUGGUCUGAGAGGACGACCAGUCACACUGGGACUGAGACACGGCCCAGACUCCUACGGGAGGCAGCAGUAGGGAAUAUUGGACAAUGGGGGAAACCCUGAUCCAGCAAUGCCGCGUGAGUGAUGAAGGCCUUAGGGUUGUAAAGCUCUUUCGCCCACGACGAUGAUGACGGUAGUGGGAGAAGAAGCCCCGGCUAACUUCGUGCCAGCAGCCGCAGUAA